rnacentral:rRNA from 1 species
UACGGGAGGCAGCAGUGGGGAAUAUUGCACAAUGGGCGCAAGCCUGAUGCAGCCAUGCCGCGUGUAUGAAGAAGGCCUUCGGGUUGUAAAGUACUUUCAGUCGUGAGGAAGGUGUUAAGGUUAAUAACCUUAGCAAUUGACGUUAGCGACAGAAGAAGCACCGGCUAACUCCGUGCCAGCAGCCGCGGUAAUACGGAGGGUGCGAGCGUUAAUCGGAAUUACUGGGCGUAAAGGGCACGCAGGCGGUUAAUUAAGUUGGAUGUGAAAUCCCCGGGCUUAACCUGGGAAUGGCAUUCAAGACUGGUUAGCUAGAGUCUUGUAGAGGGGGUAGAAUUCCAUGUGUAGCGGUGAAAUGCGUAGAGAUGUGGAGGAAUACCGGUGGCGAAGGCGACCCCUGGACAAAGACUGACGCUCAUGUGCGAAAGCGUGGGGAGCAAACAGGGAUUAGAUACC